rnacentral:rRNA from 1 species
GAAACCCGGUGAUCUAGCCAUGGGCAGGUUGAAGGUUGGGUAACACUAACUGGAGGACCGAACCGACUAAUGUUGAAAAAUUAGCGGAUGACUUGUGGCUGGGGGUGAAAGGCCAAUCAAACCGGGAGAUAGCUGGUUCUCCCCGAAAGCUAUUUAGGUAGCGCCUCGUGAAUUCAUCUCCGGGGGUAGAGCACUGUUUCGGCAAGGGGGUCAUCCCGACUUACCAACCCGAUGCAAACUGCGAAUACCGGAGAAUGUUAUCACGGGAGACACACGGCGGGUGCUAACGUCCGUCGUGAAGAGGGAAACAACCCAGACCGCCAGCUAAGGUCCCAAAGUCAUGGUUAAGUGGGAAACGAUGUGGGAAGGCCCAGACAGCCAGGAUGUUGGCUUAGAAGCAGCCAUCAUUUAAAGAAAGCGUAAUAGCUCACUGGUCGAGUCGGCCUGCGCGGAAGAUGUAACGGGGCUAAACCAUGCACCGAAGCUGCGGCAGCGACACUAUGUGUUGUUGGGUAGGGGAGCGUUCUGUAAGCCUGUGAAGGUGGCCUGUGAGGGUUGCUGGAGGUAUCAGAAGUGCGAAUGCUGACAUAAGUAACGAUAAAGCGGGUGAAAAGCCCGCUCGCCGGAAGACCAAGGGUUCCUGUCCAACGUUAAUCGGGGCAGGGUGAGUCGACCCCUAAGGCGAGGCCGAAAGGCGUAGUCGAUGGGAAACAGGUUAAUAUUCCUGUACUUGGUGUUACUGCGAAGGGGGGACGGAGAAGGCUAUGUUGGCCGGGCGACGGUUGUCCCGGUUUAAGCGUGUAGGCUGGUUUUCCAGGCAAAUCCGGAAAACCAAGGCUGAGGCGUGAUGACG